GAGGAGGGACAAGCGUCGAUUGACGAGAGCAUCAUGGAGGCCAGUUGGAUGUAUCCAUCACUUCAUGUCAGCAUGAACGUCUCCGAAGAGACCAUGUCAAGACCGAUGCCCAAAACCAAUCCCGACGGCUGACAAGGGAGCAGGUCGAGGUAAUGGCGGAAUCUUAGAAAUUAUGAAAGCUACAUUUUUUUUUAUGAUCAUAGGUUUUAUGUUUCGGGAAAAUAAAAAAAAUGUUUAAAAGAGAGAAUUUGUUACUGCUUUUGGUUGUUUAUCCACAAUAUUUCUCGUCUUGGUUUUAUGAUUAAAUCUUGGUGGUUGAAAGCUUAAGAUCAAAAAGUUAAUGGUCGAGUCGACAAAAGCAAAUGAUAGUUAAUAAAAAAUAAAUCACAAUUUAAUUUUUUUAAUAAAUAAUAAUUCACGAUUUAAUUGUUAAAAGAAGAAGGAAAGAUAAUUUCAUUUGGCAAGAAGAAAAGAAGAGUUUUAGUCGUAAUUGAACCCUGCAGUUAUUUAGAUAAUAGAAAACGAUAAUGGUGAAUAUGUUUUUUGGAAAAUAAUUAAUUCGUAAAGUAUACAAGGAUACCUGAAUGGGUAUUGGGUAGUGCCAUUAUUAAUAAAGCAAGAAUGAGGAGCCAAUAUUAUAAAAUAAAAUAAAAAAAGGGUUAUGUGUCAAGUAAUAAACAUGACAAGCAUUUCAAUCUUUUGGAAGAGAUGAACCGACGUAUGAGAAAGAAAUUCACCUACAGGAAUAGCUUGGAUAGGGGGAGAGAAACAAGGUAGUCAAUUGUACUUAAUUAGCUCAUUGGAAAAAAACAAAAAAGUAAGAAAAAGAGAAUAACUUAUGGAAAAGAAGGAAGGAGACACUUAUUAUUCAUUUUCAUUGAGAAUAACUUAUGGAAAGAAGGAAGGAGACAUUUAUUAUUCAUUUUCAUUUUAGAAAAUAAUAUAAUUUAUUAUUAAUUUUUGUUAAAAAAAUAAGGGAAUUUAUCUUGUCCCGCGGCUGUCUUUUUUAGGGUGCAUGAUUCUUCAUUUGUUUUUGUUUGUUCUCUUCUGAUUUGUGAAAAGAUGGAAUCUGAGUUUAAUAGGUUGUGAGAAAGAAGAUGCAGAGUUGGAGGUCGAAGUGGAGAAAAUCCAAAUUGAUAAUAUUUAUUAUGAUCUAUGUAUUGUUGGGAGAUUUUUGGGAGAGCUGGUCAUCAACUUUGUGGCAAUGGAACCGACGUUUCUUUCUCUCUGAAGGUCUAUCUAGGGUGUUAGUAUUAAGCAGAUCAAUGAGAGGGUUUAUAUCUAUUUCAGUUUUUCCAUAUUAUUGAUAUGAAAAAAAUAUCUCAAGAGGUCCGUGAUCGUUUAAUAAUUGUCUGCUUUUGACUUGUAAACUAGAAAAAAGGGAAAACCCAAAGCAUAUUAAGAUUUUCGAUAUUUGGGUUUAAGUUCACGACCUUCCAACAGGUUUUGUGUCAAGAGAAUUUGGCCAAAAGUUUGGAAAACAUUAUAGUUAAGUUUACUGAGUAUGAUGCUAGUGGUCGGCGUAAUUUCCUAAACUCUUAUAUGCAGAUUCGGGUGAGCAUGGACAUUUGGGAACCUCUUAUGCGGAAGAAAAAGAUCAAGAAAAAAGGUGAUGAGUUUCUUUUAG
rnacentral:lncRNA from 1 species